rnacentral:piRNA from 1 species
CAGGUGUGAAUGCUGAGUCUGAACCUG